UACGUAGGGGGCUAGCGUUUGUCCGGAAUCAUUGGGCGUAAAGCGCGCGUAGGCGGCCAGAUAAGUCCGGUGUGAAAGUCACAGGCUCAACCUGUGAAUGCCGCUGGAAACUGUCUGGCUAGAGUCCGGAAGGGGCGAGUGGAAUUCCUGGUGUAGCGGUGAAAUGCGCAGAUAUCAGGAGGAACACCGGUGGCGAAGGCGCCACUCUGGGCCGGUACUGACGCUGAGGAGCGAAAGCGUGGGUAGCAAACAGG
rnacentral:rRNA from 1 species